AGAGUUUGAUCAUGGCUCAGAUUGAACGCUGGCGGCAUGCCUUACACAUGCAAGUCGAACGGUAACGCGGGGGCAACCCUGGCGACGAGUGGCGAACGGGUGAGUAGCGCAUCGGAACGUGCCCAGUAGUGGGGGAUAGCUCGGCGAAAGCCGGAUUAAUACCGCAUACGACCCAUGGGUGAAAGCGGGGGACCGCAAGGCCUCGCGCUAUUGGAGCGGCCGAUGCCCGAUUAGCUAGUUGGUGAGGUAAAGGCUCACCAAGGCAACGAUCGGUAGCUGGUCUGAGAGGACGACCAGCCACACUGGGACUGAGACACGGCCCAGACUCCUACGGGAGGCAGCAGUGGGGAAUUUUGGACAAUGGGGGAAACCCUGAUCCAGCCAUGCCGCGUGCGGGAAGAAGGCCUUCGGGUUGUAAACCGCUUUUGGCAGGAACGAAACGGCGCGCGCUAAUACCGCGCGCUAAUGACGGUACCUGCAGAAUAAGCACCGGCUAACUACGUGCCAGCAGCCGCGGUAAUACGUAGGGUGCAAGCGUUAAUCGGAAUUACUGGGCGUAAAGCGUACGCAGGCGGCUGGGCAAGACAGAUGUGAAAUCCCCGGGCCCAACCUGGGAACUGCAUUUGUGACUGCAUGGCUAGAGUCCGUAAGAGGGGGGUGGAAUUCCACGUGUAGCAGUGAAAUGCGUAGAGAUGUGGAGGAACACCGAUGGCGAAGGC
rnacentral:rRNA from 1 species